GUAGUCCACGCCGUAAACGAUGGGCACUAGGUGCCUGGGGGAGCGACCCCCUGGGUGCCGGCGCUAACGCAUUAAGUGCCCCGCCUGGGGAGUACGGCCGCAAGGCUGAAACUCAAAGGAAUUGACGGGGGCCCGCACAAGCGGUGGAGCAUGUGGUUUAAUUCGACGCAACGCGAAGAACCUUACCUGGGCUUGACAUCUCGGGGAAAGCCGUGAGAAACCACGGCCCCUCUUCGGAGUCCCGAGACAGGUGCUGCAUGGCUGUCGUCAGCUCGUGUCGUGAGAUGUUGGGUUAAGUCCCGCAACGAGCGCAACCCCCGCUCCCAGUUGCUACCGGGUAAAGCCGAGGACUCUGGGAGGACUGCCGGUGCCAAACCGGA
rnacentral:rRNA from 1 species